AUUGAACGCUGGCGGCAGGCCUAACACAUGCAAGUCGAGCGGAUGAAGGGAGCUUGCUCCUGGAUUCAGCGGCGGACGGGUGAGUAAUGCCUAGGAAUCUGCCUGGUAGUGGGGGAUAACGUCCGGAAACGGGCGCUAAUACCGCAUACGUCCUGAGGGAGAAAGUGGGGGAUCUUCGGACCUCACGCUAUCAGAUGAGCCUAGGUCGGAUUAGCUAGUUGGUGGGGUAAAGGCCUACCAAGGCGACGAUCCGUAACUGGUCUGAGAGGAUGAUCAGUCACACUGGAAGUGAGAAACGGUACAGACUCCUACGGGAGGCAGCAGUGGGGAAUAUUGGACGAGGGGCGAAAGCCUGAUCCAGCCAUGCCGCGUGUGGGAAGAAGGUCUUAGGAUUGUAAAGCACUUUAAGUUGGGAGGAAGGGCAGUAAGUUAAUACCGUGCUGUUUUGACGUUACCAACAGAAUAAGCACCGGCUAACUUCGUG
rnacentral:rRNA from 1 species